rnacentral:rRNA from 1 species
AGUGAACGCUGGCGGCAGGCCUAACACAUGCAAGUCGAACGGCAGCACAGUAAUUGCUCGUGCUUACGGGUGGCGACGGGCGGAUGAUGCCUGAGUACCUCCCAAUCUACUUUUUCUAGGGUGAUGACGCAGGCGAACAUACGCUAUUAGCGCAGACGACCAACGUGUGGGAGCUUCGGAUCUUCCGCCCUUGCAUGAGUCGAGGAGGGAUUAGCUGGUUGGGGGGGUAAAGGCCUACCAAGGCGACGAUCCGUAACUGGUCUGAGAGGAUGAUCAGCCACACUGGAACUGAGACACGGUCCAGACUCCUACGGGAGGCAGCAGUGGGGAAUAUUGGACAAUGGGCGAAAGCCUGAUCCAGCCAUGCCGCGUGGGUGAAGAAGGCCUUCGGAUUGUAAAGCCCUUUUGGUGGGAAAGAAAAGCAGUAGGUUAAUACCCCGCUGUUUUGACGGUACCAAAAGAAUAAGCACCGGCUAACUUCGUG